GUGGGGAAUAUUGGACAAUGGGCGAAAGCCUGAUCCAGCCAUGCCGCGUGUGUGAAGAAGGUCUUCGGAUUGUAAAGCACUUUAAGUUGGGAGGAAGGGCAGUAAGUUAAUACCUUGCUGUUUUGACGUUACCGACAGAAUAAGCACCGGCUAACUUCGUGCCAGCAGCCGCGGUAAUACGAAGGGUGCAAGCGUUAAUCGGAAUUACUGGGCGUAAAGCGCGCGUAGGUGGUUUUGUAAGUUGGGGGUGAAAUCCCCGGGCUCAACCUGGGAACUGCCUCCAAAACUGCAUGACUAGAGUACGGUAGAGGGUAGUGGAAUUUCCUGUGUAGCGGUGAAAUGCGUAGAUAUAGGAAGGAACACCAGUGGCGAAGGCGACUACCUGGACUGAUACUGACACUGAGGUGCGAAAGCGUGGGGAGCAAACAGGAUUAGAAACCCUGGUAGUCC
rnacentral:rRNA from 1 species